rnacentral:rRNA from 1 species
GACGAAGGUGGCGAGCGUUGUUCGGAAUCACUGGGCAUAAAGCGCACGUAGGCGGCGACGUAAGUUGGGUGUGAAAUCCCUCGGCCCAACCGAGGAACUGCGCCCAGUACUGCGUUGCUUGAGGAUCCAAGGGGUGCAUGGAAUUCCCGGUGGAGCGGUGAAAUGCGUUGAUAUCGGGAGGAACUCCGGCGGCGAAGGCGGGUCUCUGGGCAACAACUGACGCUGAGGAGCGAAAGCGUGGGGAGCGAACAGG